rnacentral:rRNA from 1 species
AUUGAACGCUGGCGGCAUGCCUUACACAUGCAAGUCGAACGGCAGCACGGGUGCUUGCACCUGGUGGCGAGUGGCGAACGGGUGAGUAAUACAUCGGAACAUGUCCUGUAGUGGGGGAUAGCCCGGCGAAAGCCGGAUUAAUACCGCAUACGAUCUACGGAUGAAAGCGGGGGACCUUCUGGCCUCGCGCUAUAGGGUUGGCCGAUGGCUGAUUAGCUAGUUGGUGGGGUAAAGGCCUACCAAGGCGACGAUCAGUAGCUGGUCUGAGAGGACGACCAGCCACACUGGGACUGAGACACGGCCCAGACUCCUACGGGAGGCAGCAGUGGGGAAUUUUGGACAUUGGGCGAAAGCCUGAUCCAGCAAUGCCGCGUGUGUGAAGAAGGCCUUCGGGUUGUAAAGCACUUUUGUCCGGAAAGAAAUCCUUGGCCCUAAUACGGUCGGGGGAUGACGGUACCGGAAGAAUAAGCACCGGCUAACUACGUG